GUUGGGAAAUGAUGAGACUAUAUCGAUAUAUCAGAGGCACAAUUAUUUGUGCUCUGCUGAAUAAAUUUUGCACGUCAGUCUGAUCCCAAU